AAUAGAGAGAGGAAUUAAACCUAUGUAAGUAGGUCUACAGCCUACCGCCUAGCAUUCGGCCACUCUACCU
rnacentral:tRNA from 1 species